rnacentral:rRNA from 1 species
GACAGAGGGGGCAAGCGUUGCUCGGAAUCACUGGGCGUAAAGGGCGCGUAGGCGGGAUGGCAAGUCAGUCGUGAAAUCUCUCGGCUCAACCGAGAAACGUCGGCUGAUACUGCCGUUCUUGAGGGAUGCAGAGGAGACUGGAAUUCCCGGUGUAGCGGUGAAAUGUGUAGAGAUCGGGAGGAACACCGGUGGCGAAGGCGGGUCUCUGGGCAUUCACUGACGCUGAGGCGCGAAAGCGUGGGGAGCAAACGGG